GAUGGCAUCAUCAAGUGAAUCAAAGUUCCGGCGGUUAUAGAUGGGCAUGCGUGACAUUAGCUAGUUGGUGAGGUAGAGGCUCACCAAGGCGACGAUGUCUAGGGGGUCUGAGAGGAUGAUCCCCCACACUGGUACUGAGACACGGACCAGACUCCUACGGGAGGCAGCAGUGAGGAAUAUUGCGCAAUGGAGGAAACUCUGACGCAGCCAUCCCGCGUGCAGGAUUGACGGCCCCAUGGGUUGUAAACUGCUUUUCUAUACCAAGAAACACCGAUACGUGUAUCGGUUUGCCGGUAGUAUAGGAAUAAGCAUCGGCUAACUCCGUGCCAGCAGCCGCGGUAAUACGGAGGAUGCAAGCGUUAUCCGGAAUCACUGGGUUUCCAGGGUGCGCAGGCGGAAUAGUACGUCAGAGGUGAAAGCCCACAGCUCAACUGUGGAAUUGCCUUUGAUACUGUUAAUUCUUGAGUGUAGUUGAAGUAGGCGGAAUAUAGCAUGUAGCGGUGAAAUGCAUAGAUAUGCUAUAGAACACCAAUUGCGAAGGCAGCAUGCUAAACUAUAACUGACGCUGAGGCACGAAAGCGUGGGGAGCGAACAGGAUUAGAUACCCUGGUAGUCCACGCCGUAAACUAUGAACACUCGCUGUUGGCAAUACACAGUCAGCGGCUGAGCGAAAGCGUUAAGUGUUCCACCUGGGAAGUACGAUCGCAAGGUUGAAACUCAAAGGAAUUGACGGGGGCCCGCACAAGCGGAGGAGCAUGUGGUUUAAUUCGAUGAUACGCGAGGAACCUUACCUGGGCUUAAAUGUAUAUUGACGUACUGAGAAAUCAGUAUUUCUUCGGACAAUUUACAAGGUGCUGCAUGGUUGUCGUCAGCUCGUGCCGUGAGGUGUCGGGUUAAGUCCCAUAACGAGCGCAACCCCUACUUCUAGUUACCAGCAUUUCGGAUGGGGACUCUAGAGGAACUGCCUACGCAAGUAGAGAGGAAGGUGGGGAUGACGUCA
rnacentral:rRNA from 1 species